GCCUCAGCCAUCAGCAGGAGCAGCCCAGCAUUCACCCUCCACAGCCUGCCAACCCAAUGACAGCUUCUGCAGGGUCACCAAACACGUGCUGGGCACGGCCAGCUGGGCACAGGGCAGCUUUCUCCCAGAGAGGACGCUCCUGAAUGUCAGAAAGAACAUGUGACCUCAUGAUAAAUUCUUCAUCAACAAUUCUUCUUCUAAGUCACCCAAGAACCCCUGCUUGGCAAAGGCCCCAGGUCACCAUGGAUGUACUGGAAUGUUCCAUAGCCGCAUGGCCCAGAAAUGCGCUGCUGCUGGACUUUUCCAGGCCCUCGGGGGAAACCCACCCCAGAGCUUUCCAGGAGUCAGAGGUCGUCCUUCCGUGCUCUGAGGGAUUCCAUGCUCCGGGAACAUCCAUCUGGGUGUCUGUUGCAAGGAGCUAUUGUGUCAUCAAAUCACCCAAAAAAGCCAGGGAGCCCAGCCCCUGCUGAAGUGAGGACUGGGGGUGUCUCAGCAACAAAGCACACCCCAAAGAAUAAAAGAGGCAAGAGCUGGAGAAUGGGGGCAUACACAUUCACCCACCGAGAAAAAAAUAAACGGUGCAUUGGGCAACUGGG